rnacentral:tRNA from 1 species
GCCCCUGUAGCUUAAAAGGAUAAGAGCACAGGCCUCCGGAGCCUGGGGUGGCCGUUCAAUUCGGCCCAGGGGCA